rnacentral:rRNA from 1 species
ACAGGGAUUCCCUUAGUAAGUGCGACUGAACAGGGAGGAGCCCAGCGCAUAAGCUCGAUCGAGCGGUGUUGCGUAAGGAUCUCCCCUGCCAGGCGAUGUCGUUCGUAAGUCCGAGACUUGAAUGUGAUCUGUACGCCGUAGCCGGUGUUAGACCAAUGGCCCGCCGCAAGGCGGUGAAGGCACUCUCUGAAAGGGGUCGGUUGAGUCGGGUUGCCUGGAAUGGCAGCCUAAAGAAGGUGGUAAACUCCAUCUAAGGCUAAAUACUCGCACGAGA